rfam:Caldithrix abyssi DSM 13497 chromosome, whole genome shotgun sequence.
GCGGGAGUAAUUCAGUGGCCAGAAUGCCAGCUUCCCAAGCUGGACGUCGCGGGUUCGACUCCCGUCUCCCGCU